AAAAAAAGGAAAAAAAAAAAAAAAGGCAAUAUUCACCUACUCCCCUAUUCUUAAAAUGUAACUCUUCAUUGUAAAGGUUUCCUCCUUGUACAUGAAGGAAAUCAGUCUGAUACACUGGUUGUGAUGAACACAGAUCAAGAGCUUGACCGCUAAAUUUAGGGAAAAUGUGAGUCUGUAGUCAGACUGUGAGAUGAAGCCUUCUUCUUUAUCACUGGGACAAAAUCCUACGCAUCGCUUUACAAUUUGGACGCAGAACCACAUAUGGUUAAAGUUUGAAGCCAUCCCUCAUCAACAACUGAUCGUUUUUUGUAUUAUAUACACAUACAAAAAAAAAAAAAAAAAAAAAAAAAACCUUAAAAUCUAAGUCAUCUAUUUAUUGAUGGUUGACCACUGUUGUGAAUAACCCUACUGGAAGUUGAUGAAUGGCUUAAUGUAAUGAAUAUAACUCAGCAGAUUAUGGCUUACUCUAAGGAAAAAGUUCUAAUAAAGUUUCCAGUACUUUAAGGAUUUGAUAGGGCCUAGACUAGUCUAGGCUGUUCUGCUUUAAUGUUAAAUAAAUACAUAUUUUAAAACUUUGCAAUGAAAGCUUACAGCUUAGGUAGUCCAUUAACAAAACAAGAGAAGAAGUAGAAAUAGAAAACAGGGAGUGCAGCCAUGGUUAGAGACAGAAAGGGAGUUUUAUUAAUAUUUUAUCCCUCCCUAAGCAGGGGCUGGGGCUCAUAAAACCCCAUUCAAUAGCUACUACAUUCAACAACAACAAAUGCUUACUUGCAGAUUUUUGACCAAGUCCAUUGAGAAAACAUUAUUUGCUCAGUGAGGCACUUGCAUUUUAGUUUGCUCCCAGUUUCAGGGAGUGGCCCACACCGUACCCUCAACAGCUAAGAACCCCCCCCUAAAACCCACACCGAAUCGCUGUGCCAUUCAGCCCAGCCCUCCGUUGAUCCCAAUUCCUUUUGUCGCUCUGCACCUCGGACAAACGGCACUAUCUGCAUGUGAAGGGGAAAGGGAUGAUGGAGGCUUUUAAUUGAUGCGGAUUUAAUUAUGCUAAUUUAGACAGCUGUAAAGCCUUUUCAGUAUGGGUGCAUAAUAGGACCAGCAAAUACAGGUGUCCUUCACUGUGGGCGCUUAAUGUUUAACCUCGGUGGUUUUGUGAGGAGGGGAAAACGCCGAGUAAUGGUUAACCAACAGAAUGCUCUCUUUCUUGAAGACCUAAAGAGGGCAUUUUGCUUUGGUUCUUUACUCAGUCCCAUGCAAGGCUACAGAAACCUGCACUGAGCAGAGCAAGGAAUCCUCUAAUGGCCGAGACUUGGAGUCUUGUAGCCCUUUAGGCUUCUUCUGUGACCCUUUCUUGCCAUCUUUCAUCUCUGUAUCAAACCUCAUCAGCUACAAUUAAAGCAAAUAAGCAACUUACCUUUGUAGAGUGUUUCCAGCAUCCUAUCCACUUCUUUGCCUUUCCCAGUGCUCCCAGCCCAGCUCCCACAUCCUUUCUAGGCUAGGUAGCUUAUCUCUAUAGGAUACAUCCUUCAAAUUGCCCAUGUAUUUUUGGCAGGUCCAGCACCUAGGUGCUUAGGCAUCACCUUCCUGCCCCACAGUAACACACACCUCCAGAAUAAAAUGAAUUGCUAGAGCUAAUUUAAAAAUAGAAGUUGCCAUUUAACUAAACA
rnacentral:lncRNA from 1 species